rnacentral:rRNA from 1 species
CAGUAGCCGCGGGAAUACGUAGGUGGCAAGCGUUGUCCGGAAUUAUUGGGCGUAAAGGGCUCGCAGGCGGUUUCUUAAGUCUGAUGUGAAAGCCCCCGGCUCAACCGGGGAGGGUCCUUGGAAACUGGGAAACUUGAGUGCAGAAGAGGAGAGUGGAAUUCCACGUGUAGCGGUGAAAUGCGUAGAGAUGUGGAGGAACACCAGUGGCGAAGGCGACUCUCUGGUCUGUAACUGACGCUGAGGAGCGAAAGCGUGGGGAGCGAACAGGAUUAGAUACCCCAGUAGUCCCUGUCUCUUAUAC